AGGCUGGACAGACGGGUCUUCAGCUAACGCCCACUCCGGUCUGUGAGGGUCGUGGCGCGGCUGCUGCUCCCUUGGGGGCCCAUAGGGGAGAUGGUGCUGUUGGCAUAUGUGUCAUAACUGUUGUCUGAACAUACAGAGAGCUCAUCGGAGACCUCCAUGCCAUCGCUGAUCUCUGUUGGGCCAGAAGGAGGCAGAAUAUGAGUGCAGGAAGGAGAGGAGUGGAUAGAUGGCUGGCAGAUGCGGUGGGAAAGGGUGGCCUGGAGCCACUCCUGGUCAGCCACUAGGAGGAAUGAAACCUCGGGUUUCAGAACAAAGCCCAAGCUCCUGACCACACACUUGAGGCCGAAGUGCCUCCCCAGCGCCAUCUUGGGGUGAGUCAGCCAGAGGCCCUGCCUUCGAGCCAUGGCAAGGAGUGCUCCCUCACUACCUCUGAACACAUGCUGUUCCUGCCUCAAAUGCCCUUCCUUCCCUCUGCUCGCCCAGCCCUCACCUCAAACCUAUCACCCUCCUACCCUUCCUUCCCAUUUCAACUACAUCACCUCCUCACAGAGUGGGCCCCAAAACCUUCCUCACUGCCCCAGGGAACUCUGAACCCCUCUCUCCUCCUUGUACCCCACUCUGGCUCAGCACCCCCAUCUAUUAGAGCUCAGUGACACCUAAUUUUCCAUGUAUUUGUUUAUACAGCUGCCUCCUCCAUCAAUCUGGGAAUGUCAAAAGGCAGCAAGCAGGGGUGAAAUCAACGUUUGUGGGGUCUGUGUAUGAACCAGCAUGGCAGGAUGGGCCUCCAGCCCUCCCCCCACCCCUGCAUGUCACCCUUGCCCACUACCCAUGGGGCUGACACUGAGCCACAGGACCUGGAGUUGAUGGCUGCAUGUGGACGGGUAUGCAUUUCUGUGUGUGUAUGUGUAUGUGUGCCCCUGUACCAGUGUGAGCGUGAAGCUAGGUGGGUAUAUUUAUGUCUGUGCCGUGUCCCUACCUGUAUGUGCUGUGUGUGAAAUGUGUGCACGCACACCCGUCUGCACAUGUCGGGUGCAGAGGACAGAGCCCAGAGCCUGACUCAACCUGUCUGCGGAGCUGCACACCUGAAAAGAUGAGCUUCUCCUUCAUGAUGCUGACAUCCCGGCUGGUCCGGUGCACCGCGGCACUCAGCAUGAUCUGCUCGGGGUUGUAGCUCCGUAUGCCACCCAGGCGCCACCUGCAGAGAUGGCCCCGUGGGCAUCAGGUCCUUCCCCACCUUUCCUUGGAGAAGGGAUCCUUCCCACUCCCACAGACUCUCUGGAUUUGGCCUGAGAGACCAGCAGGACUCUUGUCCGACUGUACAGAUGGAGAAACUGAGGCCCAGAGUAGGGCAGAGCUGGGGCCUGAAUCAGUCUGCUGACUGUCAGCCAGGGCUCUCCAGCCCUCUUACCUCCAGACCCCUAGAUCCGCUCCCCUUGCCCAGGAGGAUGGUUAGGGGUUGGUUAGUUAUGUGUCAGGUGCCCCCAGUUAUACACCUGGACAAAUUUGGGGGUGGGGGCUUAGCAGGCAUGACUGAUGACCCACCCUGGAGUGCAAACCAAUCUUGGGGAGUCCCAGCUGAUGUCGCCUACAGCUCCAUCAUCAGGACCAGGCUGAGUGAAGCCAGUGAGGAACCCCAGAGAGGAAGUGAAGGAAAGCAGGGAGGGGAGGGGAGACAGCAGGGAGCUUGUCUUCAUGGCGUCACAAGGCAAGGGUGCUGGAGUGACUUGGGGAGGGGCCUGCUGCUGCUCUGUUCCAACAGCCCUGGAAGAGUGGGGUGCAUAUUCCCUAGUGGAGAGGGACAGGCCGGAGCAUUACCCCUUUAAUGGCUGGGGCAAGGUGGGAGCAAAACUGAAUGGGCUGAGAGGUGGGGCUGCAUAGGGCAUGCAGGGACCAGGCAGAGCUGGGAGGACUUGGGUUCCUUCGUCGGGCCCAGGGCACAGUUCUUGCUGUUACAGUUCCUCUGAACUAGCCCCAAAUCCCUGGCCUCUGAACUUAGAUUCUUCCUGCAACCUAGACAGAAGGACUCACCGGACCCCCAGCCCCACUCAGGGAAGUGGGGAUCAGCUUGGAAACAAAAACCCAACCCCCCAGGGCCCGACGCCCUGCUGGAGUAGGUGGAGGGAGCCCAGACUCCACGGGAAAUCAGUUGUUUCCAGAUGGGAUCAGCACAGCAGAAAUGGACAGACAGAUGGACAGGCAGACAGGUGGAUGAACAGAGCAGACAGACAAGGGGAAAGCAGGAGGCAGAGGGGAAGGCAACCUCUGGCUGGGCUGGCUGCCCUACGCAUCCCUGAGAACAGCAAUAGGGUCUUUUAUUUAUCGCUGCGUGCCUGGCACCAAGCCCAAUGCCUGCUGUGUGCUCUAAGUAUCAUUGAGUGAAUGAAUGGAAGAAUGAGGACCACAGGGAAAUGAACUUCUCCCCCAGGGUCCUCUCCUCCAUCAGGCCUUGCCUGACCCCCCAGGAAGACGAUGAUGCCGUCCUGGCUGUAUCUUGAGUGGCCUAGCAUGUCGGUGGAGCACCCUGGGGAAGAAGGCCCAGCACAGCACCAGCCAGCACAUGUGGACAUCUGCCGACUGAGAGGAUGGUGGAGGGACCAGGCAAAUGGCCCUUUGCUGGGCUCAGUCCCACAGUCAGUGAGCACAGAGUUCCUCCUCCUAGAAGUUGGUCAGUGAAGAUGACUGACCUAGGAGGGCCCAAGGCACCUGACCAAAGGGAACUUGCACCCCCAAGACCAAGGUCUCAGCUUGGAAAUUAACGUUAAACCCAGGAGGAAAGUGUCAGGCCCGUGUCUCUGCAGUGAGGUACAUCUAGGACAGGAAGCUCAACCACUGGGGGUAUUUCCCAGGGGAAAGUACGGGAGGCUGUGCUCAUGGCGGGAGAGCAGUGGGGUGGGAGUCAGAGACAGAAAGUGAAAGAAAGAAGAGAGGUGGAGAGAAAGAUAAACAGAGUGAGGGAGGGGAAAGGCAAACUGGGAGUGGGAGGGCCACAGGUGGCAGGGAGAAACAGAACUUGGUAGGCUGUGCACCGGGCACUGGGGAAGGCCUUGCCCAAAGUGCCAGGCUGUGGGGGGUGGCCCAAGCAGAGCCCCUCCCCAGAGGGAGAUGCUCAGGUGCUGAGAGAAGCCAGGUCAGCAACCUGCAAGGAAAUGCUGGUUCCCUGUCUGUGGGAGGGAGAGAGAGCAGAGGGACACACACGGCAAGGUGGGGAGAGAGAAGGGAGGACUGCAGGGGAGAGGAUGAGAGCAAGGACGGGAAGGCGGCUUCAGGCAGGGGAGGUGUCUGCGAGGGUGACCUGGGCCUAGGGCUCCUCAGGAGGCAGCCUUUCAGAGGGAGGUGGAGAGAGGGGGCGGCGAGAAGGAGGGAGAAAGAGGAACAGGAGGAGGACCACACCAGAAUUACCUGAUCAAGUGAUAGCUGUGAGAUGCCAGAGUGCAGCAAAGUGGGGAGGGGGAGAGAGGAGGGACAUGCGCCGGAUCAGAGCAGUAUGGGACAGAGAGAGAACGUCAGUCAAGAGUAAAACCCAGCCUGCUACUUCAUGGCUGGGUUGGGGCCCCGCCUGGCCCUAAAACCUCCCCAGGACCCACCCACUCCCACUGUGACCACCACCCCCAGCUGUCGUCCUGGAGGGUGGGUGGGGAGGUCUGAGCCCGGCACGAGUGCUGUGGAAACCUGUGCCCUGGGUGACAGGCGGGGAGACAAGCCUAGAGAGGAGCCCCCCCUGGAGCUGAAACUCACCAAAGAGUCUAUACAGCAAAUCCUGGCCCAGCUUGGCUCUGGGCUCCCGGCUGGGUACUCAUUCCAGAAGCCACUGGGCUCUGGCUGAGGGGGACGGGCUGGGGGCCACAGGGAGGCCUCCUUCUCCCCUGAACAGGGUGGUCUGGCCAGGACAUCUCCCGGCCCAGGGCUCAGGAGGGCGUUCACCUGGCUGGGGGCGGGAGCUGGCCCGUCUCAGGCAGGGAGGGCCGCGGAAGGUGGUCAGGGCCUACUCACUUCUGGAGCACGAAGAUGCCAACGAUCAGGAUGAAGGAGAUCAGGUCGGCGGUGACCCACAUGAGACAGUACUCGUCCGGGGGCUGUGGACAGAUGGCCCACAACCAGCUUCCAGUCACGGCUGGUCCAGACCAGGGCUCCAGACCAAGGGCCCAUGGGCAGGAGAAUCGCACGUCACCAUCAGGGAGGGGCAGAGGAGGACCUGGAGGGGGCUUAGGGGCUUGAGAUUAUAUUUUGUAGGAGUGGGCCUGGGGUUUGGGGGUGGGGUGCGUGUGUAGGAUAAAAGAGAUCUGUGCAGUGUUCACUGUAGAGGUGGUGUGUUUUAAACCUAGAGGAUUUAUGUGCUUAAAGGGGCUUAAUGCAAGAACCAAAAUAUGAAAGACAGAUAGAUGAAUGAGAGGGUGUGACGUGACAAGCAGGUGCGCGGGUGGGUAUGUGAAGAGGUAUGUGGCAUCCAUGUGCGUGUGAGAGUACAUGUCAUUGUAGGGUGUGGAGUGUGGGAGCUUCCCCUCCAGGGGGCCAUAGAGAGGGGCCCAGCAGGGUGAAACCUGCAGAGCAGCCAGGCCUCACACCCCCUUGACCUCAGGUAAACUGUGGAGGUGGGCUAGGGCACUUUUUGCUGUUGCUCAGUUCCUGUGGCCUGAAAAUCAGAGUGUGCUCAUAGCUACUGCUGCCACAGUUAUUUCAUCUCAGUCCGAGCUGAGCCUUCAGAGGUUUUAAAAGACCAUGGGUGGGGGGAUGGAGCUAACCACCCAAAACCUAGAUCUGAUUCACUGACACGGCAUCAUCUUAGCCAUAAUGAGACCCUCCAUCUGCCUUUCAUGACCUCAGGGAAGUGGCAGUGGGAGCACAAGAGGGAGGUCAAGGGCUCCCCAAGCCCCCUGGUUGGCAGAGCUGGGACUGGAACACAGGCCUGUCUUCAGGUGCUCAGUCGGUCAACCAACUGAAAGCUGGUUUUGUUGGCUGUAAUCUCUGAGAAGAUUUUAAUGUUCCCUAUUUUUGCCUCGUUGCCCUCUUUUCCCAAUGACUUCCCUUCCUUUAAAACAAAAUAUAAUAAUCUCCAACCCCCCCCCCCAAAUCCAAGUAGUUGUUUAUUAGUCUAGAGCUUUUGGUGUUUUUCCCCAUGUGGCUCAGGCCAAGGUUCCUCCUACCCCCCAGACCUUCGUGCAGGCCCAGAGGUCAGGAGAAUCUUCUUCAUGCCUCAAGCCUGUCCCCUCAGGUGCUCCCCCCACCCCUGAGACCUCACCAGAGGGAGCCUGGGUGUGGAGCCUGCCCCCCAGCCCUGGAAGCCAUAGGCAGCUCCCUGGACCCCCAACAAUCCCCAACUCACCAUGAUCCAGAGGGGGGAGGGCACCUGGGAUAAGGUGUGGGAGUUGUCAGAGGUGACAGACGGGACCCCCGCACACCACAGCAGGGAGAAGAGCCACGGGGCAUUGACUGUGUAGAGGUUCACGCUCAGGUUCCAGGAUGCAUAGUCCCUGUGGGGCAGGGACAGAGGCUGGUCGGCCCUUUGGCCAGUGUGGGAAGCCUGUAAAGCAUGGCCCUUCACAACCUCACGCCGUCCUCAAAACUGUCCCUGGAGGAAGGAAACUCUGCUCUCAGAGGGCCAAGCUCACAUACAAACCCAGGUGUGCCUGAUGUUCUCAACCUCUCCUCUUUGAACCCUGAGCCUGUGUGUCCAGUCCUCUGGGUGAGCCUGGGCAGGAUGGGGUGGGCACCUGAGCUCCUGGCGGGACACCUGAGUGUAGCGCAGGUUCAGCCGCUGGAUGUGGCCUUUCCGCAGGCUGGCAGCUGCCUCCUUGGAGCCCGAUGUCUGCUGGAAGCCAGGAGCCACCUUCUGCACGAAGGGCCUCUGCCUGUUAGGCAGCCACAGGACCUGCAGGCAGGAGAGGAGCAGCCUCUGAUUUCCCUUCUAUACAGUGGGGUUAGGGUGUCUGUCCCUCGUGGAGCACCUGGAGGGGUUAAAAGAGGCGGGACCUGGCACGCAGUGAAAGCUUUCAGGUAGUAACCACCUCCGGGGGAUGACUUGGUCCCAGCCAUGGCUGGGAAUUGCUUUGGCAACACCUCAGGAAGAUCCCCCUCCAGACCCUAGUCAGGACAAGACCGAUAACGCCCCAAAUGUCAACUACUGUGCACGUGGCCACCAGCGUCUUGUGUGCUGUCAUAGUUGGAAUCGUAUUUUUCUGAUCCCCAGGUAUCAUGUAGGUAACACUUCAUGGAAGUACCAUGUUCCGAAGAAUCUGGCCCUGCUCCUGCCCUUUGUACAUUUUAUUUUUUUUCCUUUGUACAUUUUAAACGCCUUUCUUAUUUCCCUCUUGGCCCCAUGAUGACCCUGUCAGGGAGGCGUGGGGUAUGCUACCCUCAUUUCACAAAUGUGGAACGCUGAGGUCUGGAGAGGGGACACGGUGAGUUUACUACUUGAGCGGGACUCCAGGCAGGCCUGGUCUCCCUGCGGGUGGGGCAGGGCUGGGCGGAGCUCAGCUCCUUGGGGACAGAGCUGGGUGGGGCUGGGCUGCAGGGCCUCACCUGGUGCUGGGGGAAGCCCGAGUGCAGCAGGGCCUCCAGCGUUACGUUGAGGAAGCUGCUGCGGUAGGGGUGCUCUCGCGGCGGGUCACGCAGGUUGAGCAGCAACGUGGCAUUGCCCUUGGCCAGCUCCAAGAGUUCCAUCAGGCUGCAGAUGGACUGGUUUUGGGCCUCCCUGUGGUCGGACGGUGACAGGGAACUGGCCGUCCAGAAGGGGUCCGUCUGGCAGAGACAGGGACACACGUUUGUCUCACCAGUCCUAUGGGGCCUCCACAUGCCUUCCUGGCUAUGGAACUUGGAGGCGACUGAGCUGCCAGUGUCGGCUGGUGUGUGCAAGUCAGGCACAUUGAAGGCUGGGGCCCUUUGGGACCUCUAGGAGAACCCAACCAUAACCUCUCUAUCCCAGUCUGCUUGCCAAAACAAUGAUUUGCUUGGAACAUAUCCCAGACCCCAGUCCGUUUUUCUCUCAGUAGCACUUCAGACCAGAGAACCAACUUCCUCUAGAGUUUUACAGUGUUAACAAUUUUAGCCAUUAACUAUUAUAAUCAAAAUCAACUUUUUCUGGUAGGGGAGGCAGAACCAGAACAAGUAGUGACAACCAUGAUAGCUGGGCUGCAGUGGCAGGAGCCCAAGGAGGCUGCCAACCAGCCUGGCUGUGAGUCAAGGAAGCUCGGCAUGUGAAGGUCACCUGAGCUGAGGGCUGCCCCUGGCCCUCUCCAUGGAGUCCCUGACCAUGCUUUCCAUGCCUAGGACUGGGACAGGUGCUGCCAGACCUUCAGGAACCACUGGCCAGCGUUGAGCCUCUGCAGCAGGGUCCAGUUGAGCAUGGAGGCGGGCCUGGGGGCGAGCUCCGGGAAUUCCUCCUCCACGUUGGUGGUGCGGCGCAGGGUGGCGUCAUGCAUGAGGAAGGGCACGCCGUCCAGGCUGUGGGAGGGUGGGGCUGCGGAGUCACUGCCCACCCAUGUCCCUCGCCCGCUCCUCCCCACCCACUUACACCAGCCCACAUAGGGACCCAGGCCCGCUCUGCCCCUCUUUGGGCCUCAGGUUCCCCGUCUGCACAGGGAAGUCAGUGGGCAGUAGGUGAAUCCCUCGGCUCUCUCUGAGGGUCAGAUGGGGGUGGGCACUGCUGAGGAGGGAGGGCUGAGCGUAUUCUCUCAGCAGCCCUGGGAGGUAGAGGCUAUCUCAUUUGAUAAUAGGGAAACUGAGGCUGGAGACAGAAGUAUCAAACUCAAGGCCUACCAGCCAGUAAGUGGUGGAACCUGGCUUAGAACCCAGUCCACGUGAUGCCAUAAUGAGAAGAGUGCAAAUGCAGGCCCCUUUGACAAGUUCCACCCUGGUAUCAUCCCGGUCUACCCCACUCUGCUGGGGCUGCCAGUAGCCCCAUAAGGUGCCUUAGCGUGAAACAGUAAAAGGCACCUGUGCUCCCCCUCCUCAAGGCAUUUUUCUACCACCUGCUAGAAAGUUUUGAUAAACACACAAUUCUAUAAUGUCUACAAUGGGAAUGGUACCCUCACACCGUGGUACCCCUGUUCAGUACCCUGCCCCCCUCCCC